GGGUUUGAAAAUAGUGGUAGGAGUUAGUUUUAGAAUAUAAAAUUUAUUUUUUGAAGUUUAUAAUUAAUUAAAUUUAGUGUUAUGAUGUAAGGUUUGGAGUAUGGGGUUUGGGAUUUAGAAUGAAAUUUGAGCAUAAAAUUUGAAAAUUAGCUAGAUUUGUAAUUUAUAUGUAAUUUAUGUGUUAAGUUUGGUGUUUAAGUUGGAAAUAUUAGUUUUACUGAGUAGAUUUAUAAUUUAGGGUACAUUACAUAUAUAUUUGGGGUUUGAGGAAUAGGGUUUGUAUUUUAGAUAUAGGGUUUGGAAUUUGAUUUUUUUUAAUUUAGGAGUUAUAAAUAUUAAAAUGAAGUAUUAAAUAUAAAUGUUAAAACUUAGUUAUAAAGUUAAAGUUAUAAAACUAAAGAAUUUUGGAAAUUACAAAUUAUGUUUAGAUAUAAAAAGAGUUUAUGAUUUGGUAUGUAGUUUAAGUUUAGAGUUUUGGUGUCCGAAAUAUAAUGUUUGAAAAUAUUUGUUUUUAGCGUUAGAAAAAUGCUAUUAUAUGAUUUUGAUAGAAUUAUUGAAGUCGCUUAAU
rnacentral:lncRNA from 1 species